rnacentral:tRNA from 1 species
GCCCCGUUGGUGUAGUCCGGCCAAUCAUCCAGCCCUUUCGAGGCUGGGACUCGGGUUCAAAUUUAAAGCAGUUUUCCGUCGAGAAAAUUGCUUUUAUGAAUUUCCCGGACGGGGCA